UGAGAGAAGGCUCUUUCUUUUCUACUCGUUGUAGAGUAUGUCAUUACUGGUCUUUCUUUGGCUUUAGCUCUUCAGGAAGAUUUCCCCCAAGUUUAUAAUUUGCUAUUUUACUAGAUCGAGAUGCUUAGUAACUCGAAAGAUAGGACUUUAUCUCUUCUACUUCGUCUAAAGCCUGUGCUGACUGUGUCGCUACUGCAAGGGAGAAAUGCUCAGAAUCUAAUGACAAUAUGGGAGUUGUUCCUUUUGUAUACCUUCGGGUAUAAAGGUAAGAUCUCUCACGUGUCACUAUUAAUAAGGAGCACCUGAAGGUAACCCGAUCAGAAUCCUAAUCCGAAGCUUGUCCGUAUGAGUGGUAUGGGUAAACCCAAGUCUUACGAUUAGUACUUUUACCAAUGUCUGGUGUUUGGAAAACCUUUUCGUAAGCCUUAGGAAUUCAAAAUGCGGGGAAUAAAUGCCUUUCUCUUUUCUCUUUCAACGAAAACACCCUAAGCUCGCGGGUUGGGUACACAGAAAGACAAAGGCUUGACGACCUACCUAAUUAGCUAGACGAACUUCCCGAUACAGGCUUCCCCCAGUCCCAGGUCUGAAGCCGGACAUUGAUUGACUCAUUGAGUCCGAGAUAGGC
rnacentral:lncRNA from 1 species